rnacentral:rRNA from 1 species
UACGGGGGGGGCAAGCGUUGUUCGGAAUUACUGGGCGUAAAGGGUUCGUAGGUGGCUUGCUAAGUCAGACGUGAAAUCCCUCAGCUUAACUGGGGAACUGCGUCUGAGACUGGUGAGCUUGAGUGCAGGAGGGGAACGCGGAAUUCCAGGUGUAGCGGUGAAAUGCGUAGAUAUCUGGAGGAACACCGGUGGCGAAGGCGGCGUUCUGGACUGCUACUGACACUGAGGAACGAAAGCGUGGGGAGCGAACAGG